UACGAAGGGUGCAAGCGUUACUCGGAAUUACUGGGCGUAAAGCGUGCGUAGGUGGUGAGUUAAGUCUGUCGUGAAAGCCCCGGGCUCAACCUGGGAAUGGCGAUGGAUACUGGCUCGCUAGAGUGCGGUAGAGGAGAGUGGAAUUCCCGGUGUAGCAGUGAAAUGCGUAGGGAUCGGGAGGAACAUCAGUUGCGAAGGCGGCUCUCUGGACCAGCACUGACACUGAGGCACGAAAGCGUGGGGAGCAAACAGG
rnacentral:rRNA from 1 species